AAAGAAAUCAAAAGAGAUUCCCCGAGUAGUGGUGAGCGAAAGGGGAAGAGCCUAAACCAAGGGGUAUACCUCUUGGGGUAGUGGGACAGCAACAUCGAAUCCAGAGACUAGACGAAGCAGCUAAAUACUGCACCAGAGGGGGUGAAAGUCCUGUAGUCGAAAGUUAAAGGAUAGAAGCUGAAUCCCGAGUAGUACGGGGCACGAGAAAUCCCGUAUGAAUCAGCGAGGACCAUCUCGUAAGGCUAAAUACUACUGUGUGACCGAUAGAGAACAAGUACCGCGAGGGAAAGGUGAAAAGAACCCCGGGAGGGGAGUGAAAAAGAACAUGA
rnacentral:rRNA from 1 species